rnacentral:tRNA from 1 species
AAAGUAUAGUUUAACAAAACCUCUCGCUUACACCGAAAAUUUAUCUGUGAAAACCAGGUUACUUUGAG